AAUUUGGUAGCAAUGAAUAAAAGAAAACUAAAUGCAUUUUAUAGGCUUUAUAUAUAGCUGUAUAAAAAUUACUUUAAAACAACAAUCAACUCAAUGAUACAACGGCUAUUUUGAACAUUAGAGUUCAUUUACAUGAAGACGGUUACGUGUGGUGAAAUCAUAAACUUUGUUAUGAUAGUGUAUAAAAAAGACAUUAUAAUCAAUGGUUACAUCAUGGAAUAAUUCUAGAUUUUUAUUUUUUGUUUAAAAAAGAAAAUAUCUAAUCAAGGUUGUUUUAUAUAAAGAUUAAUUGUCA